rnacentral:lncRNA from 1 species
UUGUUGGCAUAACAUGCGACGUGCACAUUUUGAAUUGUUUUUUUUUUCUUCAUUUAAUUGAAAGGGCUGGUAAAAUAUACAAUAUUGAUGUGAAGAUCUAGAGCUACUGGUGGUUUUAGACCAUUCUCAGACAAAAUAGCAAAUAUUUGGAAUGUACUGCCUGUGUUUCACUGUUUCAGUGUUUGGUAAGAGGUUAAAUGAGUUCAUCACAAUCCACAAUCUUUGGAGAGAAACUGCACUCCAUAG